GACGAACGCUGGCGGCGUGCCUAAUACAUGCAAGUAGAACGCUGAAGGAGGAGCUUGCUUCUCUGGAUGAGUUGCGAACGGGUGAGUAACGCGUAGGUAACCUGCCUGGUAGCGGGGGAUAACUAUUGGAAACGAUAGCUAAUACCGCAUAAUAGUAGAUGUUGCAUGACAUUUGCUUAAAAGGUGCAAUUGCAUCACUACCAGAUGGACCUGCGUUGUAUUAGCUAGUUGGUGGGGUAACGGCUCACCAAGGCGACGAUACAUGGCCGACCUGAGAGGGUGAUCGGCCACACUGGGACUGGGACACGGCCCAGACUCCUACGGGAGGCAGCAGUAGGGAAUCUUCGGCAAUGGACGGAAGUCUGACCGAGCAACGCCGCGUGAGUGAAGAAGGUUUUCGGAUCGUAAAGCUCUGUUGUAAGAGAAGAACGAGUGUGAGAGUGGAAAGUUCACACUGUGACGGUAUCUGACCAGAAAGGGACGGCUAACUACGUG
rnacentral:rRNA from 1 species